rnacentral:rRNA from 1 species
GUGCCAGCAGCCGCGGUAAGACAGAGGGUGCAAACGUUGUUCGGAAUUACUGGGCGUAAAGCGCGUGUAGGCUGCUCUGCAAGUCAGGUGUGAAAGCCCUGGGCUCAACCUAGGAAGUGCACUUGAAACUGCGGAGCUUGAAUGUCGGAGAGGGCAGCGGAAUUCUCGGUGUAGAGGUGAAAUUCGUAGAUAUCGAGAGGAACACCGGUGGCGAAGGCGGCUGCCUGGACGACGAUUGACGCUGAGACGCGAAAGCGUGGGGAGCAAACAGGAUUAGAAACCCCGGUAGUCC